rnacentral:rRNA from 1 species
GACGAACGCUGGCGGCGUGCUUAACACAUGCAAGUCGAACGGAAAGGCCCUGCUUUUGUGGGGUGCUCGAGUGGCGAACGGGUGAGUAACACGUGAGUAACCUGCCCUUGACUUUGGGAUAACUUCAGGAAACUGGGGCUAAUACCGGAUAGGAGCUCCUGCUGCAUGGUGGGGGUUGGAAAGUUUCGGCGGUUGGGGAUGGACUCGCGGCUUAUCAGCUUGUUGGUGGGGUAGUGGCUUACCAAGGCUUUGACGGGUAGCCGGCCUGAGAGGGUGACCGGCCACAUUGGGACUGAGAUACGGCCCAGACUCCUACGGGAGGCAGCGGGGGGGAAUCUUGCACAAUGGGCGGAAGCCUGAUGCAGAAACGCCGCGUGCGGGAUGACGGCCUUCGGGUUAUAAACCGCUUUCGCCUGUGACGAAGCGUGAGUGACGGUAAUGGGUAAAGAAGCACCGGCUAACUACGUG